UGGGGAAUAUUGCACAAUGGGGGAAACCCUGAUGCAGCAACGCCGCGUGAGUGAUGACGGCCUUCGGGUUGUAAAGCUCUGUCUUCAGGGACGAUAAUGACGGUACCUGAGGAGGAAGCCACGGCUAACUACGUGCCAGCAGCCGCGGUAAUACGUAGGUGGCAAGCGUUGUCCGGCUUUACUGGGCGUAAAGGGAGCGUAGGCGGACUUUUAAGUGAGAUGUGAAAUACCCGGGCUCAACCUGGGUGCUGCAUUUCAAACUGGAAGUCUAGAGUGCAGGAGAGGAGAGUGGAAUUCCUAGUGUAGCGGUGAAAUGCGUAGAGAUUAGGAAGAACACCAGUGGCGAAGGCGACUCUCUGGACUGUAACUGACGCUGAGGCUCGAAAGCGUAAGGAGCAAAC
rnacentral:rRNA from 1 species